rnacentral:rRNA from 1 species
UACAGAGGGUGCGAGCGUUGUCCGGAAUCAUUGGGCGUAAAGGGCGCGUAGGUGGCGACCCAAGUCGAUGGUGAAAGCUCGCCGCUCAACGGCGAGUCGGCCACCGAUACUGGGUUGCUGGAGCACUGUAGAGGCAGAUGGAAUUCCGGGUGUAGCGGUGGAAUGCGUAGAGAUCCGGAAGAACACCGGUGGCGAAGGCGGUCUGCUGGGCAGUUGCUGACACUGAGGCGCGACAGCGUGGGGAGCAAACAGG